AGACCGGACUUACAUUGUAAUGGAUUCAUCAUCGCCUGGAAUCGUAGAACAGAACCAAAGACUAUUUUCCACUCAUUGCAAAAACCAUCUCGAAAACCGCUGCGUGCUAGCACCUAAUUAAAAUAAACUGCCGAGCAUUAUGAUUGGAUGAAAGUUUAAUUCACUACACUACAAGUCUGGUCUAUCAUAUUUAUGAAGGCACUCGCAGCG